rnacentral:lncRNA from 1 species
UGCUAUAUCACUGAAAUUUUAAGGGAUCAAUGAUCAGUGCAUUGCAGCCAAUGGCUGUACAUGAUACGAGUUAAGUUACAGUGCACACAGGCACAUCAAUACCACAAGUCUAGCCUUCGUUCAGGGCACACAGGCACACCAAUAAUACCACAAGCUUAGCAUUCGUCAAAAUUUGUCAACAGGCACCAGUAUCACUCGCUCAAGUCUGAUUAAACACAUAAAAUGUGAUUUCAGGCAAACCUGUUUUCUUUUACAUAACAAUGUCUUUGGUCCCCCCGGUGCCAGCACUUCAAAAGAUGUUCCUUCUUGUACCUCAGUGCUCGUCUUGAGCUCACAAUGAAAGCUUCAAUUGGCCAGUCUGAUCCAAAGUAACCAGGUUAACAAAUGUUGAAACUUGAGGCAAGGUAGUGACUCUAUAUGGCAAAAAAAGGAGGAAACUUCACUGGUGCAUCAUAUACAUAAAAAAGGAGCACAACAUGACAUGGUACUCUUUACCACAUUCGGCCUUAUUCGGUUAUUCCAAUUCCAUGUGGAUUGUAGUGUAUUGAAAUGGAUUGGAAUGAAUUUUAACUUGCUAUGGAUUUAAACCGACUCAAUACCACCCAAUUCACAUAGAUUAACAGUGAAACGAACAAGCCCUUCAGUGGAAAGAUGUUUCAGUUACUCCCUCUCCCCAAAUUAUAUCAAGUUCUAGAGUUGUCCCAAGUGAAAUUAUUUUAAGUUUCAUCUAAUUUUAUAGAAAAAACAAUAAUAUUUAUGACAUCAAAUUAGUAUCACUAAAGAUAUCGUGAGAUAGAUUUUCAUAAUGCACUUAUUUGAUGUCAUAGAUGUUAUCUUUUUCUAUAAAGUUGGUCAAACUUAAAUGGUUUGACUUAGAGUGACACUAGAAACUGAUUUAUUUUUUAACUGAGAGUACAUAGUAUAACAAAUAAGCUCACAAAAUCCCAUAUUGCAAUGCAACUACCAAAAAUCUUGGGAAUGUGCUCUUACUAUUUCACAAAUCUGAAUGUCUCGACUAAAAAACAGUCUACUCUAAGCCUCUAUGAGCAAGUAUAAUAAGAUGAUGUAGACGAAAUGUAAGACAUGUCACAUCAGAUUUAUGGUGAUGUGGAAGAGAGAGAAAUGGAGAGAGAGAAGGAAAGCGGACUGCUCACUAAUAGCCAGCUGAAAGUAGGCUACUCACAGUCUCCAACACGGUUUGUGAGAGGAAGAGAUAAGCCAAGCAUUAAAUAUGCAAGCCGCUUUGCUAUAUGACUAGACUUUUAGUUGGUUACAUGUGAUAUGGACGGGUCAUACAACCCGCUGUGGGCUAUAUUAUUAAACUUGCUCUAAGGGUUCUAUAGUAAAGGAAGGGGGGAAGCGGCAGCACUGAAUUCUCAACAAAAGGCAGAAAUAUCUGAUGGUGAGGCAGCUCAGACAGCCAGGCAUGCUUAAUUUCUGCUUAACUAGCAAUAAGGAAUCAAGCAUUUUUUUACAUUACAGGCAGUUGUUUUUAUGACAGUUACCAAAGGUUUCAAACCAGAGUAUAGAAGAAUUUCAGACCUUGAUUGCUUAACUAGCAAGUAGCAACAAGUACAUAUUAUAACUAAAGGGUUUGACCUUGUUAAAGAAAAACAUUCAGUUUGUGUAUGUUUUACACCAAAGUAAUAGUAGCUCUAAGGAGACCUGAUACCAAAUUUCAACAAGUCUCAAAAACUUUUAUAAACACAACUACUUAGAUGUAGCUUCACAGAUUAAACAGCGCAUAGAUCAAUGACAAACAAUACACCGUUUUUUCUACUCUAAAGCAGUAUAAGUUGAGGUUUCACUGCAUCUAUAUUUCAAUGAUGAACGCAGCUUUGAACAUCCAAAACCACAAUAUUACUAAUGCAACACAAACAAUGGAUUAAGAAUUGUAAAAAAGAGGCACUGCAUCAUCAUCUGAAUUCUUUGCAGCAGUCGGUACCAACAGUAAUGGAAGAAAUAAUUUUGAAUGCAACAAAAACAAGAACACUCAUCUGCUUAACUCUAUAGUACUUUAAGUCAGGAGCACUACAUCAGUUAAUAACUUUCAUUGGAGACAUGGAAAUCGAGGACAGACCGUCUUCUAGCGUCGGACAUUGAGCAUCUCCUUGGCCUCCUCCUGCUCAACCAGCAGGGAAUCGCUGGC